rnacentral:rRNA from 1 species
AUGCUCUUUUUGGCGAUUUGUUUGAAGCUCUGCACUAACAUAAUCAGCAUGUGCUUUUCAUGUCGACAUGUGUUCAUGCUAGAUAAUGUUGAACUGGGCAUGAUGAACUUGAAGCAAACGACAAUGCCACGAAUACAAUUAUUCGACGAGGAGACCCUGAAACGGAUGAUCCUCGUGUGCUCAGCAAGAAAGCUAGGGAGAACAAUCUUCAUAGUCCCUGAGGCAAGACACUGGAAUGCCAUGUGCUACACAUGGCACAACUGGCAGAACGAGAAGCAUGGCAAGAAGAAAGCAAUGGAGCACAAGGCUGAAGGCUCAGCAAAUCAGUAUGCACUCGUCAGUCACAACCCAGAGACCACUCGACGGGGAGAGUAUACCAAUGCGGACACAAGCAACCUUGCACAGACACAUAAAAGCAUCAUCGAAUUCAGCCCCGGCGACUACGCUCGCUGGAUCCAGAUGCAAAACCCAGAGCUGGCCGCUUCUCCAUUAGGAUGGGCACUAAAAGAGCACAACGCAAAGUGUGUGCAUAUCGCAAAUGAAAUGAGAAGGAACAUUGCAACUGAGAACAUUCGAUUCACAAAAAAACUGCUGUAG